ensembl:lncRNA
CUCUUUCCCCUCUCCCUCUCUCUCUUGCUCUUCCUCCCUCUCUUGCUCUUCCUCUCCCUCUCUCUUGCUCUUCUCUCUCCUCUCUCUCUCUCUCUUCCUUCCUCUCCCUCUCUCUUGCUCUUCCUCUCCCUCUCUCUUGCUCUUCCUCUCCCUCUCUUGCUCUUCCUCUCCCUCUCUCUUGCUCUUCCUCUCCCUCUCUUGCUCUCUCUCCCUCUCUCUCCAUCUCUGUCUCUCUCUGUCUCUCCCUGACCUCCCUCUUUUGCUCUCUCUCUCCCUCUCUCUCUCAUCCUCUGUCCUUCCGUCCCUCCCUCUCUCUCUCUCUCUCUCUCUCUCUCUGUCUGUCUGUCCGUACGUCCCUCUCUCUCUCUGUCGGGGCUGUUUUUCUUUAAGUCAGUAACAGGAAGCUAAUGACAACCAGACCUCUGACUGACCGAACUACCCUGAGAGAAGGGGAAAGAAGGAGACAGAGAGGGAGAUGAGAAUAGUAGAGAGGACAGAAAAAUAGGGAGCGAAAAGGGGUAAAAGGAGAGGGAAAGAAGGAGGAUGAGAGAGAAGGAGAAAGAAGGAGGAUGAGAGAAAGGGAGAAAGGGAGGGAAAUAGAAAGAUAGAAAGGGUAAGGCAGAAAGUCUUUGAGAAUGUAUCCCAGAUGGGAGAGUGGGGUCAUGACCCCUCAAGUUAGGACAUCUCUAAGAUCGGCCCUUUCUAGUGUAAACUAACAAACUAACUAACUAAUGUAAACAUUACAGUAGAGUAGCAUGAACUGAGGAAGAGCUGCCGACUCCUGUAAAACAGCGUUGUUUUUCCUGUGGGAACAUUCUCUGGCCUAAAGUAAACCAGAUAUGUAAAUGUGAUCCUCCUUUCAGACACAGUAUAUUAGUAAGAGCUGCAUGAUAACAACGACUAACGUACAGUAACAGCAGCACAUCUUAUUGUGUGGGAGGAGAAAGGACCUGGGGUUUUCUAAAGCUUCUCCCCCCUGAGGUUGAGCUGAGUGAAGCUUUCUUGGCUCUCCUUCUCUCUUUGUGUGUUUGGCGUGCCCGCACGUGUGUGUGUGUGUGUGUGGCUUUCUUGGCAGGCUUGUUGGAUGUAGGGAUUUUACCUACCGCACUUAAGAGGCUGUUGCCAACACAAACACACACAGAGAGGGCCUGAAAGGAGAGAGAGAGAGAGAGAGAAAGAGGAGAGAGAGAGAGAGAGAGAGAGAGAGAGAGAGAGAGAGAGGAAGGACUAGAAAUAGAGGUUGAGUAAUGGUAUGCAUGUAUCAGGGACUUAAUCACACAGGGUCAAAGACAGGGGGUAACACAGCUCUGGUUUCUACCUCCAACCAAGCUGUAGUGUUUGUCUAUUCCCCUCACUGUGUUACACAGUAUAAACCAGUUCCAGUUUGUUAAAGGGAAAGGCUGCCUACUCAGUGUAUCAGAGGGAUAGUUUGUAAAGCACAACUGGUUUAAUGGAAGGACCAGUUGUUAGUGUUCCAGGAGUUAUACAGGUGCAGACACACACAGACCUUUAACAAGUUACUCCACUAUACUUUCUUCCUCUCUCUCCCUCUCUUUCUCCCUAUCUCUCUCUCUCUCUCCCUCUCUUUCUCCCUCUCUCUCUCUCUCUCUCUCUCUCUCUCUCUCUCUCUCCCUCUCUUUCUCUCUCUCUCUCUCUCUCUCUCUCUCUCUCUCUCUCUCUCUCUCUGUGUCUCUCUCUGUGUGUCUCUCUCUGUGUGUCUCUCUCUGUGUGUCUCUCUCUCUCUGUCUCUCUGUGUGUCUCUCUCUGUGUCUCUCUCUCUGUGUGUCUCUCUCUCUCUCUCUCUGUGUCUCUCUCUGUGUCUCUCUCUCUGUGUCUCUCUCUGUGUCUCUCUCUCUGUGUCUCUCUCUCUCUCUCUCUCUCUCUCUCUCUGUGUCUCUCUCUGUGUCUCUCUCUGUGUGUCUCUCUCUGUGUGUCUCUCUCUCUGUGUCUCUCUCUCUCUCUCUGUGUCUCUCUCUGUGUCUCUCUCUGUGUGUCUGUCUCUCUCUCUCUCUCUCUUAAUUCAAUCCAAGGGGCUUUAUUGUCAUGGGAAACAUGUGAAACACACUCCUACUGGCCACCACACGUGGCUGAUCUGUAACCUCACUGUCUGAGAGGGUCUCAGGGGAUGAAACACACUCCUACUGGCCUCCACACGUGGCUGAUCUGUAACCUCACUGUCUGAGAGGGUCUCAGGGGGAUGAAACACACUCCCACUGGCCACCACACGUGGCUGAUCUGUAACCUCACUGUCUGAGAGGGUCUCAGGGGGAUGAAACACACUCCUACUGGCCACCACACGUGGCUGAUCUGUAACCUCACUGUCUGAGAGGGUCUCAGGGGGAUGAAACACACUCCUACUGGCCUCCACACGUGG